rnacentral:rRNA from 1 species
UACGUAGGGCGCAAGCGUUGUCCGGAAUUAUUGGGCGUAAAGAGCUCGUAGGCGGUCUGUUACGUCUGCUGUGAAAACCCGGGGCUUAACCCCGGGCUUGCAGUGGAUACGGGCAGACUAGAGGCAGGUAGGGGAGAAUGGAAUUCCCGGUGUAGCGGUGAAAUGCGCAGAUAUCGGGAGGAACACCGGUGGCGAAGGCGGUUCUCUGGGCCUGACCUGACGCUGAGGAGCGAAAGCGUGGGGAGCGAACAGGAUUAGAAACCCCCGUAGUCC